rnacentral:misc_RNA from 1 species
AAGUCGUAACAAGGUAACCGUAGGUGAACCUGCGGUUGGAUCAUUAAUAAUUCAAGAGGUACUUUAUGUAUCUUUUUGGCUUGCACCACUUGCCAUUUAUUUGGCAAGUGGGGCUUGCUGAUAAAACACACUGUGCACUGUAAUUGUAUUUUGGGGAAGUUAUCGGCGGCUGCAACCUACAUAAUGCGCUGUGUCAUGAAGACCGCUAGCAUGUCUUACGGCUUUCCCUGCCCAAACUCUAAACCCAAACCAACGUAUUUAAACAUCAUAUGACUUAUUACUUAUUUUUUAUAAAAUAAUACAACUUUUGACAACGGAUCUCUUGGCUCUC